rnacentral:sRNA from 1 species
AAAUAGCCCCGAUUGAAACGGCAUCCUUUUUUCAAAUUCUGACGAAGGAAGAAUUAGAAAAAGAUAUAGCGAAAAGCAGGUAAAAUG